AAUGAACGUUGGCGGCGUGGAUUAGGCAUGCAAGUCGUGCGAUAACCCCGCAAGGGGGGAAAGCGGCGAAAGGGAGAGUAACGCGUGGGUACCUGCCCCUUGGUCCGGAAUAGCUGCGGGAAACUGCAGGUAAUGCCGGAUAAUAUCCUCGGAUCAAAGGUGUGAUUCCGCCGAGGGAGGGGCCCGCGUUCUAUUAGCUAGUUGGUAGGGUAAUGGCCUACCAAGGCGACGAUGGAUACCGGGUGUGAGAGCAUGACCCGGCUCACUGGGACUGAGACACUGCCCAGACGCCUACGGGUGGCUGCAGUCGAGAAUCUUCGGUAAUGGGCGCAAGCCUGACCGAGCGACGCCGCGUGCGGGAUGAAGGCCUUCGGGUUGUAAACCACUGUCGUAGAGGAGGAAAUGCCAUGGGGUUCUCUCCAUGGUUUGACCUAUUCUAGGAGGAAGGACGGGCUAAGUUCGUGCCAGCCGCCGCCGUAA
rnacentral:rRNA from 1 species